GGAUUAGUAGUCAAGUGGUAAAAGACAUGGUAUGGCUCUUUCAAUGCUACAUACGCGGAUUCAAACCCCGUCUAGUCUA
rnacentral:tRNA from 1 species